rnacentral:rRNA from 1 species
UACAGAGGGUGCGAGCGUUGUCCGGAAUCACUGGGCGUAAAGGGCGCGUAGGUGGCGAGAUAAGCGUGUGGUGAAAGCCCGGGGCUCAACCCCGUGUCUGCCAUGCGGACUGUCUUGCUCGAGCGUAGUAGAGGCAGGUGGAAUUCCGGGUGUAGCGGUGGAAUGCGUAGAGAUCCGGAAGAACACCGGUGGCGAAGGCGGCCUGCUGGGCUACUGCUGACACUGAGGCGCGACAGCGUGGGGAGCAAACAGG